rnacentral:rRNA from 1 species
GACGAACCGUGCGAACGUUAUUCGGAAUCACUGGGCUUAAAGCGCGUGUAGGCGGGCCGGCACGUCGGUGCCUGAAAGCCCCCGGCUCAACCGGGGAAUGGGGGCCGAUACGACCGGCCUGGAGGGGCGUAGGGGGACCUGGAACUUCCGGUGGAGCGGUGAAAUGCGUAGAUAUCAGAAGGAACAUCAGUGGCGAAGGCGGCUUCCUGGACCAAUACUGACGAUCAGGUGCGAAAGCGUGGGGAGCAAACAGG